UGUUAGGUCAAGGUGCAGUCUAUUAAAGAAUAUUAUGGGUUACAUUGCAAAAUAUGAAUGAAUUUAAUUUGUGUUUAAUUUUUGAAAAAGGAUUUAAAAGUAAAUUUAAUUAUGAAUUAUAAUGAAUUUAGAUUCUAAAAUAUGUACACAUUGCCCGUCGCUCUUAAUUUUAUAAAAGAUAAGUCGUAACAUAGUAGAUGUACCGGAAGGUGUAUCUGGAAUGAGAAAGUAAAUAGCUUAAAAAAAGUUUAUUAUUUACAUGUAUAAGAUAUCUUUAUGAUUUUACUUUAAGUUAUGUUUAUAAUAAUUUUUAAUUUAAAUUGCAAGGGGGAGAUUGUAAUUUAAUUAGAAGUUAUAUUAAUUGUACCUUU
rnacentral:rRNA from 1 species